rnacentral:ncRNA from 1 species
CAAAAGCUUGGUCCUGACUUUACUAUCGGCCCUUACCAAACUUACACAUGCAAGUCUCCGCACCCCUGUGAGGAUGCCCUUAAUCUCCCACCCGGAGACGAGGAGCCGGCAUCAGGCGCGCCCCGUGCAGCCCAAGACGCCUUGCUUAGCCACACCCCCAAGGGAAUUCAGCAGUGAUAAACAUUAAGCAAUAAGUGAAAACUUGACUUAGUUAAAGUAAGCAGGGCCGGUCAAACUCGUGCCAGCCACCGCGGUUAUACGAGAGGCCCAAGUUGAUAGACAUCGGCGUAAAGAGUGGUUACGGAUAAUAACUCAUCUAAAGUCGAACGCCCCCCAAACUGUUAUACGCACCCGGGGGUAUGAAGCCCUACCACGAAAGUGACUUUAAUUUUCCCCGAACCCACUACAGCUAUUAAACAAACUGGGAUUAGAUACCCCACUAUGCUUAGCCAUAAACCUUGAUAGUGCCUUACAACCACUAUCCGCCCGGGUACUACAAGCACCAGCUUCAAACCCAAAGGACUUGGCGGUGCUUUAGACCCACCUAGAGGAGCCUGUUCUAGAACCGAUAAUCCCCGUUCAACCUCACCAUCCCUGGCCAACCCCGCCUAUAUACCGCCGUCGUCAGCUUACCCUUUGAAGGCCCUAAAGUAAGCACAACAAGCAAAACCCCAAAACGUCAGGUCGAGGUGUAGCGCAUGGGAUGGGAAGAAAUGGGCUACAUUCUCUGACACAGAGAAAACGAAAGGCAGUGUGAAAUUACACGCCCGAAGGAGGAUUUAGCAGUAAGAAGAAACCAUGAGUGUUCUUCUGAAGCCGGCUCUGAAGCAUGCACACACCGCCCGUCACUCUCCCCGAGCUGCCACUUAAAACAUUAAUAAGAAGAUUAUAGAUCAAGGGGAGGCAAGUCGUAACAAGGUAAGUGUACCGGAAGGUGCACUUGGAAGUAAAU